UUAAGCCUCUUAUCCUAGAAGAGAGAAGAGGUAGCUUGGCAACCUAUCGUGCAUGUUAAUACAUAAUCAUCCAAACUAAGCUUUGCUUUUUUUUUUUAACUGUUGCUUUAACUUGAGAUGAAUGUAAGUGAAAAUUCAAAGGACAAAAUAUUUGCUGCCUGAGAUGAAGAGCAGAAAAUGAAUGCCUGUCCUGGGACUGUUGAGGAAACUCUGCUAUUUGAAAGAAUUGAAAAUAAAGGGGAAGUGCCUAGCUCUUAUCAGAAUGUGAUUGACCAGAGAAUCGCACUCAAGAACUGUCUCUAUCUGAUCUAAGAACACCUAGACAAGAUGCUGUCUUACACUGAUUUCAGCCUGGUCAGGCAAAAAAAUCUAGGAUGCCCUGGAUGUAUAAAUAGGUAUAUGAAACAAAAGAAGGUUGGAAAAUAUUGCUUCUUCUUGACCAAGAGCAAGAAUUGCUUCUAAUUAGCACUAAUAAUCAGGCUGGGCAAACACAACAAAAUUAUAUCCUGUUUUCAUUUGUAAAAAUGCUACUUCUCCAUACUAGUCUAAUAUUUUGUAGUGGAAUAGUGAAAUAUUAAACUUCUAUUAAUUUCAUUUCAUUAUUUCAUUAUUUUAUUUUAAUUUAUGUUUUGCUAUAAACGAAUACUCUAGGCUUCAGCUGACUAACUAAAAAUUUAUCUUAAUGGAACUGAAGCCCAAUACCAAGCUUUUACGAACUUAUACAAUCACAUAAAAUAACAUAGACAGAGGGAUAGUAAUAUAAAAGCAGAACUGUAUGAGCUAAAGCAAUCAUCCUGGAAUUAGCAGUAAUGAAAAGCAUGAUCAAGACCUCAGGUAUUAAAAUAACAGCAUCUUAAAAGACCCAGGAGACUGAAAAGAAGAAAUGAAAUCUCACAUGAUGGUGCCAUUAUAACAAUAUGGAUACCAACCAUUACUGAGGCAAGCAUUUUCAAGAAUACUGAUUGCUCUUUAGAGCCUGAAAGAAUGCAGCAGUAGAGCUGGCUUUCCAUCACAUACUGAUGUUAUCCUUCCGUGAAGCUGUCAGUGACCUCCUCAAAUGGCUUCAGGGGUGGAAAAUAAGGCAAAAUACACAAAAGGAUCCAAAAGAGAGAGAGAGAGAAAAAAAAUGAGUGUGUGAGCAAGGGGGGAGAAUCCCCACCCGAUGAAUACUAUAUAAUAUGGUAGUCCUCUGAGUUUGAAGAAAACACUGUUGUGCAGUUCUUUGGUAAACACAGAGGGGUCUCUGAAGCAAGUACAGAGUCUAGACAGUGGGGGCACUGGAAGUCCAUUAUUGUAAUGGAUGCUAUUCUAUGACACUGCUCAUGUUUUGAGGGGCACUUGUCUUCAAAGUCUGUGGAGGCUUCUUAGCAGAGAGUUCUCCAGAAGGUUCUUUCAGCAGCUCCAGCUUCUAGUUCCCUUGGCUAGAUGUUACACUGGUAUAGGAUUUCUUUCACAGUGUCUUUGUAGCGCUGAUGUGGUCAAUUUUGAGGCUUUUCCCCAGGCUUCAGUACACUAUAGAGCAACUGGUGAAUCAGCCAUUCUGAUGAAAUUUCUGGGCUCUGAAAACCAGAGACUCAAUGCUGGUGGACUCUGCACUAUCCAAGAUCGCCAAGCUAGAGACAUGGUCUUAGCCAAGGAAUGCCAAAGAUGGAAUGGGGUGUGCACAUUUGAAAUUUUUCCAGUUGUUUGAUGAGCAGAGUCAAGACUACAUCCUUACAGGAGAUAGCUGUAUAGCUCUGUAGACGUUAGCUUUAUGGAGAUAUGGAUGUUGUGUUGAUUGAACAAUCUGGUAUGCAGCUGCCCCUGUGCAUGGUUGGCUUUGCUGAUCCUGGAAUCAAUUUCUUUCCAAAGACCCAUCACUUGAGAUGCUUCCCAAGUAUUUGAAGCUGUUCACAUUUGUCAGUUGGAUGCCAUCAACAGUGAUUUUUUUGUUCUAAAGACUUCGUAUUUUCUAUGAACUGGUAAAAUACUUCAGUUUUGUUGAGGCUGAUAUAUGAAAAUACAUUCUGUGUUAAAUAAACAUGAAAAUAAUAUUUUGUUUAAUCAAUAAUUUAAGGUCAUAAGAAUUAAUAUUUUUAAGCUCUUUUAUUGUUGAUCCAUUAAUGUGGGAUAUUCUCACUUCUAAUUUCAGAAUUCUUGCGAAUAUCUAAUAUUCAGUUUAUUGCUCCUAUUUAAUUUAUUUUUGAGAGUCUCUGGUUUGUAGUGAAGUACAAAUGUAAUAAAUACAUAUAUGUUUACUUUACAGCUGUACACUUAGACUCAUCUAGAGUACUAUACAGUAUGUUCUCAUACGGUAAUUUGAAAGUUGCUGACAUUGCUAAAUCAUCUGGACUAAUUUCUGAAAUCAGGAAUUGUUAUACAAAAUCAUAUUUUUCUAAAUGUAGCUUGCCACUUUUAAUGGAGGAAAUAUAAUAAAGCUGUGCUAAAAACAGAAGCCAAUUUCUGCCAUGAUUAUAAAAGAAUCAUAUAAUAAAUCUUUUUUUUAACUUG